rnacentral:misc_RNA from 1 species
GAAAUGCGAUAAGUAGUGUGAAUUGCAGAAUUCAGUGAAUCAUCGAAUCUUUGAACGCACAUUGCGCCCUUUGGUAUUCCAAAGGGCAUGCCUGUUCGAGCGUCAUUUGUACCCUCAAGCUUUGCUUGGUGUUGGGCGUCUUGUCUCUAGCUUUGCUGGAGACUCGCCUUAAAGUAAUUGGCAGCCGGCCUACUGGUUUCGGAGCGCAGCACAAGUCGCACUCUCUAUCAGCAAAGGUCUAGCAUCCAUUAAGCCUUUUUUUCAACUUUUGACCUCGGAUCAGGUAGGGAUACCCACUGAACUUAAGC